ensembl:lncRNA
GUGUAGUGGUGUGUGGAGGCGUGUGGAGGUGGUGUAGUGGGGUGUGGAGGUGGUGUAGUGGGUGGUGUAGUGGUGUGUGGAGGUGGUGUAGUGGGGUGUGGAGGUGUUGUAGUGGUGUGUGGAGGCGGUGUAGUGGUGUGUGGAGGUGUGUAGUGGUGUGUGGAGGUGGUGUAGUGGUGUGUGGUGGUGUAGUGGGGUGUGGGUGUGGAGGGUUAAGAUGAGAUGAGUUCUGUUCUGAUGAGAUGAGAUCUGUUCAGAUGAGAUGAAAUGAGUGGGGAGCGGACAGAUGCAUCUCCUGCAGGGACAUCUCUCUGGAAAAAAUAAAUCAAUUGGCAAAUGUUACAAACAACUCAGCAAUCCAGCAAAAAAAAUAAAGACAUUGUAAAAUAACCAAACACAAUAUGCAACUAAAAACAAG